rnacentral:rRNA from 1 species
AGCAUUCAUUGGGCAUUUAAGGGAUGCCGGUGACAAACCGGAGGAAGGUGGGGAUGACGUCAAAUCAUCAUGCCCCUUAUGACCUGGGCUACACACGUGCUACAAUGGACAGAACAAAGGGCAGCGAAACCCGAGGUUAAGCCAAUCCCACAAAUCUGUUCUCAGUUCGGAUCGCAGUCUGCAACUCGACUGCGUGAAGCUGGAAUCGCUAGUAAUCGCGGAUCAGCAUGCCGCGGUGAAUACGUUCCCGGGCCUUGUACACACCGCCCGUCACACCACGAGAGUUUGUAACACCCGAAGUCGGUGAGGUAACCUUUAUGGAGCCAGCCGCCGAAGGUGGGACAGAUGAUGGGUGU